rnacentral:tRNA from 9 species
GCCGGAGUGGUGGAACUGGAAGACGCGCGGGACUCAAAAUCCCGUGAGGGCAACCUCGUGAGGGUUCGACCCCCUCCUCCGGCACCA